UUUGCCUUGCUCUCUUCCUCAUGCAGACAUAGUUUAUCCAUCGUUCAAGGUUGAAAUCCAGUCUUUGUAAAGGCAAAAAAUCUCAGUUCAGUCCGUGGCUUCAGUCUAAAGACUAGACUAGAUGAAACUAGGAAGAAUUCAGAGAGCAAAUUUCUCCACCAAGGAUCAUGGGGGCGCGUUGUGUUUGGACCCAGGCCCUGGAGACAGAUCUGAUUCAACACUGGGAAGAAUAUCCAUGCCUUUACGAUGUGUCGUCUCCAAGUUUGGUGACAUCACCGCGUUAUCUGGGGCUCUGUCGGCGAGGGCUCAGUGGAGAAAUUUUGUGGUGUGCACACACAGGUCGUAACGCAGUUGGCGAGACUCCCGAUGACAGAAACACACGUCGCCAGCACUUCAGGGAAAAUACUCUCCUGUUCCAGCUUGGAUGUAGAAGAAGCUGAGUAAGAGCCUGAUCCCAUCCAACACCUUUGGGAAGACGUGGACCCUGAGCCAGGCCUUAUCACCCAAAAUCAAUGUUGGACCUCACUAAUGCUGGUGGAAAGCCUGAAACCAGAAGAGAGGAGGUUGUUUUAAGCAGCAGAUCCACGGACGGUUUUGGAAUGAGUUGUUCAAUAAUAGCCGCAUAUUUCUGCAAAAAUUAUUGUAACAUGUAUGCUCCAUUUAUUUUCACUAGUUAUGGAGUUAUUUCUAAUGUUGUUUUAGCCUUUAUUCGUAUGUAUAUUUUUCUACUUACCUGCCUCUCUGAUCUGUUUCCCAUGCUGCAGCAUAACUUAAUUUCCCACCUGGGGAUCCAUCUAGUGUUAUCUUAUCUUGUGUUUUACUGUGCUAUGAAAAUGAACUCAUAAAAAUUUGCUUGAGAUGCAAGAAAUGAUCCGUCACAAAGAAUAUUUUCACUCUUGUUUUUGUCACACUGAUGUAUUAUAACUGAGUCAGAUCAAGAAAGUGAAAGUUAAGUGUGUGUCACCUUUGGUCUCUAUUGGUCUUGGUCUUUUUAUUUACACUGGUGAUGGAGUUUUUGUCUAUUUCAUAUAAUGUAUUAACCCUUAUUUGUAUGUAUAUUUUUCCUCUAAUCUGCUUCUCUGAUCUGUUUCUCAUGCUG